rnacentral:misc_RNA from 1 species
GAUGAAGAACGUAGCGAAAUGCGAUAAGUAAUGUGAAUUGCAGAAUUCAGUGAAUCAUCGAAUCUUUGAACGCACCUUGCGCCCUUUGGCUAUUCCGAAGGGCAUGCCUGUUUGAGUAUCAUGAACAUCUCAACUCCUCACGGUUCGCCCGUGACGAGCUUGGACUUUGGGGGUCUUGCCGGCCUGCGGGUCGGCUCCUCUCAAAUGAAUCAGCUUGCCGGUGUUUGGUGGCGUCACAGGUGUGAUAAAUAUCUACGCUUGUGGUUUUCCGCCAGGUAACCUCCAGCGAUGGGGGUACACUGGAGCUCACGAAUGUCUCUCCUCGGUGAGGACAGCUCUUUGAACGUUUGAUCUCAAAUCAGGUAGGGCUACCCGCUGAACUUAAGCAUAUCAAUAAGCGGAGGA